rnacentral:rRNA from 1 species
AUUGAACGCUGGCGGCAGGCCUAACACAUGCAAGUCGAGCGGAUGAAGGGAGCUUGCUCCUGGAUUCAGCGGCGGACGGGUGAGUAAUGCCUAGGAAUCUGCCUGGUAGUGGGGGAUAACGUCCGGAAACGGGCGCUAAUACCGCGUACGUCCUGAGGGAGAAAGUGGGGGAUCUUCGGACCUCACGCUAUCAGAUGAGCCUAGGUCGGAUUAGCUAGUUGGUGGGGUAAAGGCCUACCAAGGCGACGAUCCGUAACUGGUCUGAGAGGAUGAUCAGUCACACUGGAACUGAGACACGGUCCAGACUCCUACGGGAGGCAGCAGUGGGGAAUAUUGGACAAAGGGCGAAAGCCUGAUCCAGCCAUGCCGCGUGUGUGAAGAAGGUCUUCGGAUUGUAAAGCACUUUAAGUUGGGAGGAAGGGCAGUAAGUUAAUACCUUGCUGUUUUGACGUUACCAACAGAAUAAGCACCGGCUAACUUCGUG